CACGGGGGGGAGCAAGCGUUGUUCGGAAUCACUGGGCGUAAAGGGCGUGUAGGCGGUCUGGUAAGUGGGAUGUGAAAGCCCCCGGCUCACCCGGGGGAUCUGCAUUCCAAACUGCCAGACUUGAGUAUGGGAGAGGACAGGGGGAAUUCCUGGUGUAGCGGUGAAAUGCGCAGAUAUCAGGAGGAACACCGAUUGCGAAGGCAGCUCGCUGGGACGUAACUGACGCUGAGACGCGAAAAGCGUGGGGAGCAAACAGG
rnacentral:rRNA from 1 species